rnacentral:rRNA from 1 species
AACGAACGCUGGCGGCAUGCCUAACACAUGCAAGUCGAACGAGACCUUCGGGUCUAGUGGCGCACGGGUGCGUAACGCGUGGGAACCUGCCCUUAGGUUCGGAAUAACUCCCCGAAAGGGGUGCUAAUACCGGAUAAUGUCUUCGGACCAAAGAUUUAUCGCCUUUGGAUGGGCCCGCGUUGGAUUAGCUAGUUGGUAGGGUAAAAGCCUACCAAGGCGACGAUCCAUAGCUGGUCUGAGAGGGUGAUCAGCCACACUGGGACUGAGAUACGGCCCAGACUCCUACGGGAGGCAGCAGUGGGGAAUAUUGCACAAUGGGCGGAAGCCUGAUGCAGCGACGCAGCGUGAGGGAUGACGGCCUUCGGGUUGUAAACCUCUUUCAGCAGGGACGAAGCGUAAGUGACGGUACCUGCAGAAGAAGCACCGGCUAACUAUGUG